UUCAGUAGACUGCCACGCAGCUCCCCGGGACUGCUGUGCAGUAGGAAUAUCAGCCCACAUAUGAGUACAAAAUGUGUACAUUUCUAGACAUCUAAUGAAAAGCGUGUCAGGUGCCCUGGAAGAGUUCAUCAAGAAGCUUGACACCUUGAUAAGCUAAUGGCUCACCACUCAUCGUACUGGGCAACUUCAACCUCAGUGCUGCGCCAGGUGGCGACACACAUCUCUGAGUGCCUGCAGAUAUCUUAGCUUGGAUGUUGGCCCACCACCUCAAGCUCAACAUCGACAAGAUGAAACUGAUUUUCCUCCUGGGGGAAGGCCUGCCCGCUCCAAGACCUCUCCAUCGUGGUUGCCAACUCCACAGUGUCCCACUCCUAGAGUGUAAAGAACCUUGGCUUGACCCUGGACAACACCCUGUCGUUCUCCUCAAACAUCAAAGCAGUGACUUGAGCUGUUCCACAUAUUUGUAUAGUUUGGUCAGACAUUAGACUACUUUCCAAUCUCAGUCCUCCACACACAGUAUGAGACCAGAUGAAUUCCUCCACCUCUAAUGGUCCUUUCUCACCAAGUCAAACAACUCUGUUGGUGUGAAAAGGCCUAAAGAAGGAAGUGUAUAACCUCUAUUAUACUUACAGUAUAGCCUACCUAUAAAACACCCGAAAUUAUCAAUCUUCAAGCUUCCAUAAUAAAGUGAGACAGGAGACUGAGCUUUGUAAUCGACAUACAGUAUGUUUAUUCAUUUUUCUAUUUAGAAGUUUUUGUUUCAUACAUUUCCCUCUGAAACAACUGUUUUUAAAAACAGUCAUACAGUGACCGAAUUUUCUUUUUAAUUACUUGAGAAAAAUAAAUGGGUGAUUAUAGAAAUCCUACUUAAAGACAUGAUGUCUGUGAUUGAUGAAUUUCCUGUGGGAAUAUGGACAGAUACAGUGCCUUCAGGAAGUAUUCACACCCCUUGACUUUUUCCACAUUUUGUUGUGUAA